UGAGCAAUCUGCCCUUCUCAUCGGAAUAAGCGUUGGAAACGACGUCUAAUGCCGAAUACGACCUCCUUUCGCAUGAUCGGAGGUGGAAAGCUCCGGCGGAGAAGGAUGAGCUCGCGGCCUAUCAGCUAGUUGGUGUGGGUAAUGGCCCACCAAGGCGACGACGGGUAGCCGGCCUGAGAGGGUGACCGGCCACACUGGGACUGAGACACGGCCCAGACCUCCGUACGGGAGCAG
rnacentral:rRNA from 1 species